GAAGACCCUCUUUACACCAAGAAUCUUUUAUGCAAGGCUGCCACCUAGUGUAUUUAUGUAUAUUACAACCAGUUUUUUAUAUUCCAAGUUCUGUAUAAUCCAAGACAUUUUUGUACAUUUUACUAUUUUAGUAAUUCAUGCAUUUACAAGUGGUUUCGAUAUUAUAUUUUAGAGUUUUUUUAAUUUGCAUCAUACGGUAAGAGAUCUCCUAGUACGUGUAGGCUUUUGUUACCUACUAUUAUUCAGAAAAGUUAGUGUACCUAUUCUCUGGAGUUUGAAGGUAGGAAAUUAGUCAGUGUGUGAGAGUACGUUGUGAAUGAUUUAAUAUUGGCGGAAACACCUAUAAUAUACUAAGGCAUUUAUAAAUUAAUUUAAAAAGAAAAGUGAUGAGUGAUAACUGUCCAAUUUUUCAAUGCUUAUAAAGAACCAUUAGGUUUUUUUUUUCUUAAAAUAAAACAAACCUUUAUAUCAAGUCGGUGUAUUAAUUAUUAUUUUUUUUUUAAAUCACUUUGACAGUAGAAUGUAAAAAAAUUAAAAUCAACAUUUCUAAUGUUUUGCUAUAUUGUGUUUGCAAAUUUAAUAUUUGUUGAAUUAAUACUACUGUGUGAAAUGCUUAAUGUACGUUAAAAUAAUGUUUUAAUGUUGAUUUGUGCUUUUGAAGGACAUGUUUGUGUAACAUUUUAAAAGUUUUCUGUCUAUGUUAACAUGGCACAUAGGUUGGAAUAAACUUUGACUUUGAGUACACCAGACUUCAAAAUCAUCAUUUUAUAAUGGGUGUCAGUUUAGGAUGAUAGGAUUUGCAGCAAAUAUUAUAAAUUGCUGCAUAUUAAAGUUUUUGCAUUAGACAUUUUCCAUUUAGGUUAUGCCAUCUCCCCUUACUCACUCAGUCUUCCUAUCAGGAGAUUUCUCGUAAAUUCCCCAAAUUCUGUUUCAUACAGAUAUGGCCCCUCAAGCUCAGUAAUGUAUGUAUCCUGGCUCGUUUUCUACUCCUCCCCGAC